rnacentral:rRNA from 1 species
UACGGAGGGGGCUAGCGUUGUUUCGGAAUUUACUGGGCGUAAAGCGCACGUAGGCGGCUUUUGUAAGUUUAGAGGUGAAAGCCCGGAGCUCAACUCCGGAAUUUGCCUUUUAAGACUGCAUUCGCUCGAAUCAUGGAGAGGUGAGUUGGAAUUUCCGAGUGUAGAGGUGAAAUUCGUAGAUAUUUCGGAAGAACACCAGUGGCGAAGGCGACUCACUGGACAUGUAUUUGACGCUUGAGGUGCGAAAGCGUGGGGAGCAAACAGG